rfam:Parcubacteria group bacterium RIFCSPLOWO2_01_FTLL_48_18 rifcsplowo2_01_scaffold_313, whole genome shotgun sequence.
GGGCGAUUAGCUCAGUGGUAGAGCGCUUCGUUUACACCGAAGAGGCCGUAGGUUCAAUCCCUACAUCGCCCA